GUAAAUUUGUAGUGAAUGCAGAGAGUGUGUUAGUAUGUAGCGGAUGCAGAGUGUGUGUUAGUGUAGUGAAUGCAGUGUUAAUGUGUAGUGAAUGCAGAGAGUGUGUUAGUGUGUAGCGGAUGCAGAGUGUGUGUUAGUGUAGCGGAUGCAGAGUGUGUGUUAGUGUAGCGGAUGCAGUGUGUGUUGCGUUAGUGUAUGCAGUGUGUGUUAGUGUAUGCAGUGUGUGUGUGUGUUAGUGUAUGCAGUGUGUUGUGUUAGUGUAUGCAGUGUGUGUGUGUGUUAGUGUAUGCAGUGUGUGUGUUAGUGUAUGCAGUGUGUGUUGUGUUAGUGUAUGCAGUGUGUGUAUGUGUGUGUCAGUGUAUGCAGUGUGUGUGUUGUGUUAGUGUAUGCAGUGUGUGUGUUUUGUUAGUGUAUGCAGUGUGUGUGUGUUGUGUUAGUGUAUGCAGUGUGUGUGUUGUGUUAGUGUAUGCAGUGUGUGUGUGUGUUAGUGUAUGCAGUGUGUGUUGUGUUAUUGUAUGCAGUGUGUGUUAGUGUAUGCAGUGUGUGUGUUGUGUUAGUGAAUGCAGUGUAUGUGUGUGUUAUUGUAUGCAGUGUGUGUUGUUAGUGUAUGCAGUGUAGUUAGUGAAUGCAGGUAGUGUGUGUUAGUGUAUGCAGUGUGUGUGUUAGUGUAUGCAGUGUAUGUGUGUGUUAGUGUAUGCAGUGUGUGUGUUGUGUUAUUGUAUGCAGUGUGUGUUAGUGUAUGCAGUGUGUGUGUGUUGUGUUAGUGAAUGCAGUGUAUGUGUG